CUGGCCCUACGGGGGGCAGCAGUGAGGAAUAUUGGUCAAUGGGCGGGAGCCUGAACCAGCCAAGUCGCGUGAGGGAAGACGGUCCUAUGGAUUGUAAACCUCUUUAGGCGGGGAGCAAUGCCGGGCACGCGUGCCCGGAGGGAGAGUACCCGCAGAAUAAGCAUCGGCUAACUCCGUGCCAGCAGCCGCGGUAAUACGGAGGAUGCGAGCGUUAUCCGGAUUUAUUGGGUUUAAAGGGUGCGUAGGCGGGCAUUUAAGCCGGCGGUCAAAUGUCGGGGCUCAACCCCGGCCUGCCGUCGGAACUG
rnacentral:rRNA from 1 species